rnacentral:rRNA from 1 species
UUCGCAAUGCCCGAAAGGGUGACGAAGCGACGCCGCGUGUGGGAAGAAGGCCUUCGGGUUGUAAACCACUGUCGGGAGUUAGGAAGUGCAAGGGCGUUAAUAGCGUUCUUGCUUGACUAAGGCUCCAGAGGAAGCCACGGCUAACUCUGUGCCAGCAGCCGCGGUAAUACAGAGGCGGCAAGCGUUGUUCGGAAUUAUUGGGCGUAAAGAGCACGUAGGCGGCCUUGCAAGUCAGUUGUGAAAGCCUUCCGCUCAACGGAAGAACGCCAGCUGAUACUACAGGGCUUGAGUACGGGAGGGGAGAGUGGAACUUCUGGUGGAGCGGUGAAAUGCGUAGAUAUCAGAAGGAACGCCGGCGGCGAAAGCGACUCUCUGGUCCGAAACUGACGCUGAGUGUGCGAAAGCUAGGGGAGCAAACGGGAUUAGAUACCCCGGUAGUCCUAGCCGUAAACGAUGGGCACUAAGUAGAGGGGUUU